rnacentral:tRNA from 1 species
CAUGGAAUGCUACAUUUCCAUUGGUAAUGG